AUUGAACGCUGGCGGCAUGCUUUACACAUGCAAGUCGAACGGUAACAGGCCGCAAGGUGCUGACGAGUGGCGAACGGGUGAGUAAUGUAUCGGAACGUGCCCAGUCGUGGGGGAUAACGCAGCGAAAGCUGCGCUAAUACCGCAUACGAUCUAUGGAUGAAAGCGGGGGACCGUAAGGCCUCGCGCGAUUGGAGCGGCCGAUAUCAGAUUAGGUAGUUGGUGGGGUAAAGGCUCACCAAGCCAACGAUCUGUAGCUGGUCUGAGAGGACGACCAGCCACACUGGGACUGAGACACGGCCCAGACUCCUACGGGAGGCAGCAGUGGGGAAUUUUGGACAAUGGGCGCAAGCCUGAUCCAGCAAUGCCGCGUGCAGGAAGAAGGCCU
rnacentral:rRNA from 1 species